UUGCAAAGUUGUUCGGAUGCACUUCAUGGUUAGGGGCUGGACCAGGGUUGAUGGAUGCUGCAACUCGGGAUGCUAUUGGUCGCUGGGUUCAAGAUUUCUAAAGAAGCAGGGGAAUGGACAACAACCAGUUUUCAUUCGUAUAUUCCUUCUCAUGCUUACCUUACAUGCAGCAUGGGUUGAUGGAUGCAACCGUUAGAAGUAGUAAAGGGGAGAAGACGGGUCUGAUUGUGUUACUAGGUGGAAUUGGUACUCUGGAUGAGGCUUUUGACAUUCUUCCACUCAUCCAGUUCAAGAGGAUAGGUUUUGCACUCCCUGUUCCUUUUGUUUUGAUGAAUUAUGACUCCAUUUAUUCCAAGCUUUUAUAGUUUCUGGAGGUAUGUCAGGAUUGGGGGACUAUUUCCAAAGGAGAGGUUUCCUCCCUUUGGAAAGUAUAUAAAAAGGAACACAAUUUUGUUACCACUGAUUGGUAUUCGAUGUUGGGUUUAAAAAAAGUGUGUCAUCAGUGGAACACAAAUUUGUUACCUUUUAUAAUGCAACUUUUAAAGUAAAAAAAUUCGAAAUUACGAUGUUAUAAUAGAUUAAAAUGGAAGUAAGAUGCUACUGUACAAAAAUGAAUGGAAGUAUGCUAAAUCCAAAAACAAACAGUUGAUGAAGCAAAGAUUUUGCUACCCGGGACAUCAUCGAAGCCGAAAAAGUACAACCCGGUGCACCUACAUGUUGUGAGAUGGCUUCCUCCUUUUCAAUUCAACUUUUGACUAUUUUGCCCCUCUUGUGCUUUGGUGGAGUUUGACAUUUCUGCUGUUGCUACAUACAUUUUGUUUCACAUAGAAGUAUUCAUAAAUAGUCAAAACAACUAAAAGUCUACACUAAAGAUGAAUGAAACAGGUACCUGUUAAAAUGAUUUUUGCAGACCUUUUGUUCUGAUUCCAGUUUAAAUGUGUCAUCUUUUAACAAUGGACACUUAAGAUUUAUGCAACUUAUGAUCAAAUCUGUUGUGAUUCCUUUAACUACUGUGGUGAAAACCGAACCCUGCGGAGCAAGGUUUCCCACCUAUUUUAAUAGCACAUAUCUCAGUUAAAUUUAUUCUGUUCAUUUAAUGUUUCAUAUUGGACACACUUUAUUAUGAAUACUUCUGUGUAUCUCGAUGGUUUAUAUACCUUUCC